rnacentral:rRNA from 1 species
GAGUAAAGAUUUCGGUCGCUUUGGGAGGAGCUCGCUUACUAUCAGCUUGUUGGUAGGGUAAUGGCCUACCAAGGCUAUGACGGUUAGGGGGUGUGAGAGCAUGACCCCCAGCAUUGGCACUGAAACACUGGCCAAACACCUACGGGUGGCUGCAGUCGAGAAUCUUCCACAAUGGGGGAAACCCUGAUGGAGCGAUGCUGCGUGCGGGAUGAAGGCCUUCGGGUUGUAAACCGCUUUUGUAGGGGACGAAAUUUUUGACGGUACCCUUUCGAAUAAGAGGUUGCUAACUCUGUGCCAGCAGCAGCGGUAAUACAGAGACCUCAAGCGUUAUCCGGAUUUACUGGGCGUAAAGCGUCUGUAGGGGGUUUAUUAAGUUCCAAGUAAAAUUUCAAGGCUCAACCUUGAAUUCGCUUGGAAAACUAAUAAACUGGAGUCUAGCAGAGGUGCAUGGAACUUGUGGUGUAGGAGUGAAAUCCGUUGAUAUCACAAGGAACACCAAAGGCGAAGGCAUUGCACUGGGCUAGCACUGACCCUGAGAGACGAAAGCGUGGGGAGCAAAACGGAUUAGAUACCCGUGUAGUCCACGCCCUAAACGAUGAAUGCUAAAUGUUCGGGGAUUCGACCCCCUGGGUGUUACAGCUAACGCGUUAAGCAUUCCGCCUGGGAAGUACGGCCGCAAGGCUAGAACUCAAAGGAAUAGACGGGGAUCCGCACAAGCGGUGGAGCGUCUGGUUUAAUUCGACAGUAAGCGUGGUACCUCACCAGGGUUUGACAUCCCUUGACAGCCUUGGAAACAAGGUUUCCUUCGGGCAAGGUGACAGGUGCUGCAUGGUCGUCGUCAGUUCGUGCCGUGAGGUGUUCCGUUAAGUCGGGAAACGAACGAAACCCCUAUUGCAUGUUACAAUUUCUCAUGCAAGACUGCCCGGAUAUACUGGGAGGAAGGUGGGGAUGACGUCAGAUCUGCAUGGUCCUUAUACCCUGGGCGACACAGGCGCUACAAUGGCAGAGACAAAGGGUUGCAAAACCGCAAGGUGAAGCUAAUCCCAAAAACUUUGUCUAAGUUCGGAUUGAAGGCUGCAAUUCGCCUUCAUGAGGCUGGAAUCGCUAGUAAUCGCGAAUCAGCCACGUCACGGUGAAUAUGUUCCCGGAUCUUGUACUCACCGCCCGUCACACCAAGAGAGUUGGUAGCUCC